CAUUGUCGAAAUCGAACGUAAGAACGACCCGCGAACAGUCAUUGCGUACCGUAGAGGGCCAUCGGGCGCGCCACGCUCGCGCGACUCCCGUCGCGUCGGCGCGGACGUGCUCGAGGCCCCCGUCGUACCGACGGAACAACAUUGUCAGCACGGAUCGUGCCAAGGAGCUGCAUGGAGAGAAUCGUCGUUCCGCGCCUUCGGUUUCCCUCGUCGCGGGACGGGAGGCGCGGGGCGCGCGCGAUCUCUGCUAAAGUCUAAAUGACUCUCGGCAACGGAUAUCUCGGCUCUUGCAUCGAUGAAGAACGUAGCGAAAUGCGAUACUUGGUGUGAAUUGCAGAAUCCCGCGAACCAUCAAUUCUUUGAACGCAAGUUGCGCCCGAAGCCAUUCGGCCGAGGGCACGCCUGCCUGGGUGUCGUGAUUCUCCUUGCCCCAGGGCACCCGUGUUCGUGCAUGUGCAGUCGCGGGGGAACGCUCGGGCGCAGAACUUGGUCUCCCGCGGGAUCGGCACGCGCGCGUCGUGUCGAGGCGCGGUUGUCCGAAAAUCGAGCACGSAGGCGACGGGCACCACGUCGUUCGGUGGAUCGAACGAGAUUGGCUGCGACGUGGUCUCGGCACGCGUCUCGCUCCGGGCAACGACGGUCCCCAGUGCGA
rnacentral:rRNA from 1 species